rnacentral:rRNA from 1 species
GACGAACGCUGGCGGCGUGCCUAAUACAUGCAAGUUGAGCGCUGAAGGUUGGUACUUGUACCAACUGGAUGAGCAGCGAACGGGUGAGUAACGCGUGGGGAAUCUGCCUUUGAGCGGGGGACAACAUUUGGAAACGAAUGCUAAUACCGCAUAAAAACUUUAAACACAAGUUUUAAGUUUGAAAGAUGCAAUUGCAUCACUCAAAGAUGAUCCCGCGUUGUAUUAGCUAGUUGGUGAGGUAAAGGCUCACCAAGGCGAUGAUACAUAGCCGACCUGAGAGGGUGAUCGGCCACAUUGGGACUGAGACACGGCCCAAACUCCUACGGGAGGCAGCAGUAGGGAAUCUUCGGCAAUGGACGAAAGUCUGACCGAGCAACGCCGCGCGAGUGAAGAAGGUUGUCGGAUCGUAAAACUCUGUUGGUAGAGAAGAACGUUGGUGAGAGUGGAAAGCUCAUCAAGUGACGGUAACUACCCAGAAAGGGACGGCUAACUACGUG